GACAGAGGUCCCGAGCGUUAGGCGGAAUCACUGGGCUUAAAGGGCGCGUAGGCGGGUGUCAAGUCAGGGGUGAAAUCUUUCAGCUCAACUGGAAAACAGCUUCUGAUACUGGCCGUCUUCGAGGGGGGUAGGGCAUGUGGAAUUCUCGGUGAGCGUGAAAUGCGUAGAUAUCGAGAGGAACACCUGCGGCGAAGGCGGGGUUGCUGGGCUGAUACUGACGCUGAGGCGCGAAAGACCAGGGGUAGCGAACGGG
rnacentral:rRNA from 1 species